AACGAACGCUGGCGGCGUGCCUAACACAUGCAAGUCGUGCGAGAAAGUUCCUUCGGGAGCGAGUAAAGCGGCGCACGGGUGAGUAACACGUAGGUAACCUGCCCCCCAGUCUGGAACAACUAGAGGAAACUCUAGCUAAUGCCGGAUGAGACCACGAUCCCUUCGGGGGUUGCGGCCAAAGAUGGCCUCUACUUGUAAGCUAUCGCUGAGGGAUGGGCCUGCGGGCCAUUAGCUUGUUGGUGAGGUAACGGCUCACCAAGGCUGUGAUGGCUAGCUGGUCUGAGAGGAUGACCAGCCACACUGGGACUGAGACACGGCCCAGACUCCUACGGGAGGCAGCAGUGGGAAUAUUGGACAAUGGGGGCAACCCUGAUCCAGCAAUGCCGCGUGGGUGAUGAAGGCCUGGUCGUAAAGCCUGUCGCAGGGAGAUAAGCAUCGGUAUAAUAACG
rnacentral:rRNA from 1 species